UACGUAGGGUGCAAGCGUUAAUCGGAAUUACUGGGCGUAAGCGUGCGCAGGCGGUUUGUAAGUCUGUCGUGAAAUCCCCGGGCUCAACCUGGGAAUUGCGAUGGAGACUGCAAGGGCUAGAAUCUGGCAGAGGGGGUAGAAUCCCACGUGUAGCAGUGAAAUGCGUAGAGAUGUGGAGGAACACCGAUGGCGAAGGCAGCCCCCUGGGUCAAGAUUGACGCU
rnacentral:rRNA from 1 species